GUGAGAGGUCUGGAACACAAUUUUGGGAGAUAGUAGCACAGCAAUGUGCCAGGGCAAGCUGUUUGUGCAAGGACUGAUGACAGCCAGCAAGCCUCUUGUUCUGGGACGAGGCUGUUUAUGACUAGUGACCUGGAUUUCACAGCCUGAGAUGCCUGAAUCCCAUCCAUUAAGUGACAUCACCCAAUUUGUCAUGACAAUGACUUCAGACAUUGGGUAGCUGUGACUCACACAGCAGCAUAGCUGAAGAAAACAACCAGAUGACUAGCUGGCUUUGUUUCACUUUGGAUUCUGGUCUGAAAGAAUGGCUUUAACGGGAAACAGCAGAAUAAUUACACUGUAAAUGUACUCAUUGUACACAAUAAAUAAUCGCCACAGAGAGCUUCUACAUUAUUAA